rnacentral:sRNA from 1 species
GUGCAUGUGUCCCUUAGACUGCUUCUCCACAGGGUCAGGCUCCCUGAAUCUGAGGAAUCUAAAACUGUCCUCUAUCACAAUGAGAACUUAGGAGGCUUGUCCACAUUUCAGCAGCACAACCCUGUGGACUUUUUUCAGAAUGAAGUGCUAGUUAGUGGUCUGUCUUUGCUAAACCUUGUAUUUUCAAAAUGGGCGUGAAAAAUGUUUGCUUAGCAUAAUUCCCAUUUUUCCCCUUAGGAAUAGCCAGGCCAGAAGAAGGAAGGCCUGUGGUGAGUGGGACCGGAAAUGACAUCACCACCCCACCGAACAAGGAGCUCCCACCAAGCCCAGAGAAGAAAACAAAGCCCAUUGCAGAUGCAAAGGCUCCUGAGAAGCGGGCCUCACCAUCCAAGCCAGCUUCUGCCCCGGCCUCCAGAUCUGGGUCCAAGAGCACUCAGACUGUUGCAAAAACCACAACAGCUGCCGCUGUUGCCUCAACUGGCCCAAGCAGUAGGAGCCCCUCCACGCUCCUGCCCAAGAAGCCCACUGCCAUUAAGACUGAGGGAAAACCUGCAGAAGUCAAGAAGA